rnacentral:rRNA from 1 species
AACGAACGCUGGCGGCGCGCCUAAUACAUGCAAGUCGAGCGAGAAGGUGUAGCAAUACACUUGUAAAGCGGCGAACGGGUGAGGAAUACAUGGGUAACCUACCCUCGAGUGGGGAAUAACUAGCCGAAAGGUUAGCUAAUACCGCAUACGAUUCCGGGACUGCGGUUCCGGAAAGAAAGCGAUACCGUGGGUAUCGCGCUCCUGGAUGGGCUCAUGUCCUAUCAGCUUGUUGGUGAGGUAACGGCUCACCAAGGCUUCGACGGGUAGCUGGUCUGAGAGGACGAUCAGCCACACUGGCAAUGCGACACGGGCCAGACUCCUACGGGAGGCAGCAGUAAGGAAUAUUGCGCAAUGGGCGAAAGCCUGACGCAGCGACGCCGCGUGGGGGAUGAAGGUCUUCGGAUUGUAAACCCCUUUCGGGAGGGAAGAUGGGAUGGGUAACCAUUCGGACGGUACCUCCAGAAGCAGCCACGGCUAACUUCGUGCCAGCAGCCGCGGUAAUAC